AGCGGGACGGAGGGGAGGGCCUCCUCCGCGCCAGGCGCAGCGCCCGGUCGGGCUCGGUCGGGCGACCGCGGCCAUGACGCAGGGUCCGGGCGGGCGCACGCCCCCCGCGCCCCCCGCGCCCCCGGAGCCCGAGGCGCCCACCACCUUCUGCGCGCUGCUGCCGCGCAUGCCGCAGUGGAAGUUCGCUGCCCCCGCGGGCUUCCUGGGCCGGGGCCCCGCGGCAGCGCGGGCGGCCGGGGGCGCGGGGGCCGCCGACUCCCAGCCCGAGCCGGCCGGCCCGGCCAGCGUCCCUGCGCUGGCGGCCGCGGUCCUGGGCGCCUGCGAGCCGCGCUGCGCCGCGCCCUGUCCGCUGCCGGCGCUCAGCCGCUGCCGGGCCGCCGGGGGCAGGGGCCCGCGGGGCGCGCGGGGGGCGGCCGGGCCCGCGGACGCCAGCGCCGACGAGUGGAUCCGCAAAGGCAGCUUCAUCCACAAGCCGGCGCACGGCUGGCUGCACCCAGACGCCAGGGUCCUGGGGCCCGGGGUCUCCUACAUCGUGCGGUACAUGGGCUGCAUCGAAGUCCUCCGCUCCAUGCGCUCUCUGGAUUUUAACACUCGCACCCAGGUGACCAGGGAAGCCAUCAACCGGCUCCAUGAGGCAGUGCCUGGCAUCCGGGGCUCCUGGAAGAAGAAGGCCCAGCACUGCCCUCUGCCCUGUCCCCAGGCCCCGAACAAGGCGCUAGCCUCCAUCCUGGGCAAGAGCAAUCUGCGCUUCGCUGGCAUGAGCAUCGCUGUGAGCAUCUCCACCGACGGCCUCAACCUGUCCGUGCCUGCCACGCGCCAGGUCAUUGCCAACCACCACAUGCAGUCUAUCUCCUUUGCGUCGGGAGGUGACACGGACAUGACUGAUUAUGUGGCCUACGUAGCCAAGGAUCCCAUCAACCAGAGAGCCUGCCACAUCCUGGAGUGCUGUGAGGGCCUCGCCCAGAGCAUCAUCAGCACCGUGGGCCAAGCCUUCGAGCUGCGCUUCAAACAGUACCUGCACAGCCCCCCCAGGGUGGUCCUGCCCCCGGAAAGGCUGACCAGGCCCGAGGAGUCGGCCUUGGGGGACGAGGAGGAAACGGAACACAAUUACUACAACAGCAUCCCAGGGAAGGAGCCGCCCCUGGGCGGGCUGGUGGACUCCAGGCUCGCCCUAACUCAGCCCUGUGCCGUCGGCGCCCUCGGCCAGGGCGUAUCACCUGCUCGAAGGGACACCCGCAGUCUGCCAUGGGACCUGGGCCCCUCAGGCCCACCAGGGGAUGGCUACGUGCAGGCUGAUGCACGGGGCCCCCGAGACUAUGAGGACCACCUGUACGUCAACACACAGGGUCUGGAUGCCCCAGAGCCCCUGCAGCCGGAGGACAGCCCCAAGAAGGACCUGUUCGACAUGCGACCCUUCGAGGACGCUCUGAAGCUGCACGAGUGCUCUGCGGGGGCGGGGGCGGCGGUAGCGCCCCUUCCCCUGGAGGACCAGUGGCCCAGCCCCCCCACCCGCCGGGCCCCUAUCGCCCCCACGGAGGAGCAGCUGCGGCAGGAGCCCUGGUACCAUGGCCAGAUGAGCCGAAGGGCCGCAGAGAAGCUGCUUCGAGCCGACGGGGACUUCCUGGUGCGCGACAGCGUCACCAAUCCCGGGCAGUACGUCCUCACAGGCAUGCACGCGGGGCAGCCCAAGCACCUGCUACUUGUGGACCCUGAGGGCGUGGUGCGGACGAAGGAUGUGCUCUUUGAGAGCAUCAGCCAUCUGAUCGACUACCACCUGCAGAACGGGCAACCCAUCGUGGCGGCCGAAAGCGAGCUGCAUCUGCGCGGCGUGGUCAAACGCGAGCCCUGAGCCAGCAUGUUUAGAGAUGUGCAACCAUCCUCUACCUAAUUCCAGAACAUUCUACCACCCCAAAAGGUGAUGGUUCUCAGCUCCCAGCUCCUGUCCUGCUCCGCAGAUGCCCCUGUUGUGGCCUUACGGGCUCCUCAGCCUCUCCCUCCGGACCCUGGUCAGGCUGGAACCGCCACUGUCUCUCCUUCCCCUGCAUAGGCCUCUCUCCAGCCGUCCCUGGGCGGGGUCAACAAGGCCAAGAAAUGGGGGCCCACGACCCCUUUAUCCUGCUGACGCCCUGCCUGCCUCCACCCUCUGCCUGGAGUGAGGGUGUCCAUACCAAAGACAGAACCUUUUCUCACCUCUAAAGAAAAUACAUUAAAGACAAGCAGUCCUCCAUCUCCAAGCCCUGGCCAGGGCCUUCGAUGGGUUAAGGAGGCCCACCUCUUUUCCCAGAUGAACUUCAGCCUCUCUCCCUGGAAAGAGGGAUUCCUGUCCUUGACUGGUUCAGUUUUUCCACCUGAAAAAUCAGUGCACAGUUGUCUUUUAUGGGGAAGAAUUGAGAUGCUUUGGGUCCUCAGGCCGGGGCACCUGCUGAUGUUGAAGGGGGCGGGUAGUCUUGGGGCCCAGCUGGGAUGGGGGGCAUCCAGGCAAGGCCAGCACAACCGGCUCGGCGGGGGGAGCGGUGGGUGGUUGUGGGACUCUGCCCUCCCGGCUGCCAACCUGCAUGGACAUUUGGGAUCUGCUGGUAACACGACCAUGAGGGAACGAACCCACCUGCACAUUGAGAGGCCCUCUGGCUGGAAGGCUGAGGCCAGUGUCCCAGGGGCAGAGCCAAGGCCCACGGUGUGGCCUUUCGGGGCUGGAGGAUGUGGGGACUGGAGGGGGGGGAUGGGGAAGAGGGCGUUGGGCCUGUGGGGCAGUGGUCUGCUGUCCCAGAACCCCCGGCAUCUCCCUCACACCUGUUUUUACCCCGAGAUAAAGCCUCCCCAACACCCCCGUCUUCCCCUUGGAAACAUCUGUAUUUCCUGAAUGCUGCAAACCUCUUUCAAGAUGCCCCUGCAUGUCUGGCAAAAAGUUCUUUUCCCUCCAAACUGCUCCUGACUUCCCCCCGAAUGUGGCCUGACUUCUCUCAGACCACCCCUGUUACCGGCAGAGCCCCUGCACACAGCUGUUGCUCUGCAGACCUUGCCUCACAUGAUCUCUGGGCUCUCCUUCCCAGAGACCACCAUCUCUCCCGGAACCCCUCCCCUGGCCCUCCUGGAGAGGCCUCCCUGCCAGGGCCACACCCCUGCCCAGGGUCUGGAUCUCUGGGGAGACUGAGAGAUCCGAUGAGAUUUCUCUGCAGUCAGCAGGCCACACCCCCUGCCCUGGGGGAGCCUGGUGAGGGUGAGGGGAGCAGCCCACACUCUGCUCUGUCUGUAACCAGGGGGGAAAGCCGUCAAAAAACAGCCCGAGGAGACUGACGCCGUGCCUCUUACUUUGGAGACACGGAGGCAGAGAGCCACCAGUGUGUGCACCCAACCCACGUCCACCCAUCGAUCCAGCCCUCUAUUAGGCGUUCCGUUCACUGGCCAUCCACCCCUCCCCGCCAUCCUGAUACCCUUUAGUAAGCCUGCAUUCGCCUCUUACCUGCCUGGACCUCUGGUGGAUUAACAAGGGUGCAGCAGGACCGAGACUGGUCCUUGUGGUCUGUCCUUGUGGGGUUAAGAGCCAAGUGACAUUAAUCAGCAAAUCACUGCUAAGCGUGUAAUGACAACAGUGAAAAGGAAAGAGUCCUGAACUUAGUGAUCUGUGGGAAUGACACAGGGGCUGCGAUCUGGAGGAUGAGAGUCCCAGAUGAGGAGGACAGAGUUCUAGGCAGAAGGAAUGGCACAUGCAAAGGCCCUGUGGUGUGUGUGGCUCCCAGCACAUUUAGGGACCAGAAGGAUGACCUGUGUGUGACUACAGGUGGAGCGGAGGACACAGCUUGUUCGAGGCCUCACCGCCGGGGGGUAGCAGAGCUGGGGUUCGCACCCCAUCACCUCCUCGUCCUGCUCUCUGCGCUGGAAAAGCCAGGUCUGGGGUGCACGCACAGCGACGGGAGCUGUGAGCCUAGCUCCAGCUGGGUCCCCCACACUUGUCUCUUGCGCCAUUCUACCUUCAGUUAUUCAGCAGAUGCUCCUUGCGGCAGCCUCACCCCCAGGGAGUCUUGGGGUGGGAGGCGGCCACCGUGUCAACUCAGACUGGCUGCUUCCCUUCCCUGAACUGCGUGCCCUGUGGAAUUGGGCUGCCCCCUGUGCCUCAGUUUCCUUACCUGGAAACCGGGCGUGGUGGCCCUCCCCCACAGAGAGUUAACCUCUGCCUUGUUGGGUCGGGGUCUCUCCUGGGAGCUUGCAGAUGGGCCUUCCUUUUCCAGGGGAGGAGACAGAGCUCAGAGGAGCAGCUGUUGCCACAGCUGUGUGGGUACAAGGUGGCCCUCUGGACUGGAGCUUCCUUCUUUGAGGCCCCUCCCUGUGCUUCUCCCAAGACCUGUCUGCGGUGGCUGUGGGGGGCGGCCUGUGACUCAGGCUAGCUCCUGGGAAGCACCGUGUCCCUCCUCCUUCCCAUGAGGCUAGCUCCCUGGGGGGUGGGAGUGGAAGACCAAGGCCAUCCAUCAUGCAGUGGCAUGACUCAGGUCAGGGGUGGGGGUGCUGGCCAAUAUCGCCUGGUCCCCCUCCCCAGCUUGGACUGGAAGGCUGCACCUCCCCAUUUCUGAUCCCAGGAAGGCUGCAACUUGGGGUGUGGGGGAGUCCCGGGGGGUCUGCCACGCCGGUCAGCCACAGGGCUCUGCAGAGGAGGUAGGUUUUGUCGGCUGGGAGAGGUUCUUCUGUACGGACUGCAAGCCUCACUAACCAGCAGGAAGGGCCAGCAUCCUGGCCCCCGCCCCUCCCAAGGCAGGUGUUUGGGACCUGUCCCCAGGUACCUUUUCUGUCUGGGGCUCAGUUUCCCCAGCCCCCAAAGGUGAUGGGGUGCAGGCACAGGGGUGUGGCUUCGGCUGAGCUAGCAGUGGUGGGGUUCAGGUUCUGGGGUUCCCUUCGAGGCCCGGCCAGGCCUCCCACAGCUGAGCCCCUUUUCUCACCAGGAGCAACAUCCAAGAAGUGAAGGCUGGCGCUCACAUCAGUGCUCUAGGCCCUGUUGUGAGCACCUUGCCUGUCAGCACCUGUUUGUCCUUGCUCUGUGGCUGUGGUGCAGGGACAGCUGUUAUGCUGGUGGACAGCCGAAGAGAUAGCGGCAGAGAGGUCUGGACACUUCAGGAAGUGUUGGCCUCGGGAUUCAAACCCCAGAUGAGCAUCCCCGGUUGCUUAGCACAGGAACCGGCACAGAAUAAACUCAUUGCCUCCUCCCUCAACCCAACUGGGAGUAGACCUGCCCCAGCUGGGUAGGGGUGAGGGCGGAGUGAAGCCCCCAGCACGCAGCGUGGCUUGUCGUCAGAAGACCUGAGAUGGUCACUCCACCUUAGUGGGCACCACUGUCCCUGUCUGUGCAAUGGAGAGAGGCGGCCCAUGGCCUCUGAGGUCCUCCCUCCUGCCUGCUACCAGAAAGAGUGCACUUCCAGGAGUCAUCCCUCUUACUGUGGUGCUAGUUCAUCCAUUUGUCUGCCAGGUAGUUAUUAAAGACCCCAGUGUCUUGGGGACAAGGCAGGGACAAGGCUGCCACACCCCUUCCUCCCAGCAGUUCCAGGCUGGCAGGGGCAACGGAUGUCAAACAAGUAUGCGCUCCAGGGCAUUCUUCAUGGUAGCUCAAGUUGCGGUUCAGUGGGCUCUGCCAGGCCGUGAUGCUGGCCCAGCCCAGGCUGGCAGGCAGGGCAGGCUUCCUGGAGGCAGUGGUGAAAUGAUGCAUUCAUUGGCAUCUGCCUCCCCUGUCAGACCCUGUGGUCGUGCCAGUGUUGCCCACAGCACAAAGAGGGGCCUUAAUAUUUGCUGAGAGAGAGCAAAGCUGAGACAGACCUUUGGGGGGGGGGGGGAGUCAUGGACCCUGCUGAGCCUUGCUUUUCUCAUCUGGACAAUGGAACUCCAAAGCCCACCUCACUCCAAGGUCAGGUGGAGGCAUUGGAGGGGCAGGAGUUCUGUCCGGCUCCCACCUGCCCCCCUGCACCCCCUUCUGCUGUUGAACCAGUGGUCACUCCAGACCAGCCCCAGCCGAAGCUGGGGCCACGAUGGGGCUUGGGGACAUUCUUGGAACACAGGAGGCUCUGGGACAAUCGUAAUUUAAUAAAGCCCAGGCUUUGGAUCA